rnacentral:rRNA from 1 species
CAGCCGCCACGGGAAUACGGAGGGUGCAAGCGUUAAUCGGAAUUACUGGGCGUAAAGCGCACGCAGGCGGUCUGUCAAGUCAGAUGUGAAAUCCCCGGGCUUAACCUGGGAACUGCAUUUGAAACUGGCAGGCUAGAGUCUUGUAGAGGGGGGUAGAAUUCCAGGUGUAGCGGUGAAAUGCGUAGAGAUCUGGAGGAAUACCGGUGGCGAAGGCGGCCCCCUGGACAAAGACUGACGCUCAGGUGCGAAAGCGUGGGGAGCAAACAGGAUUAGAGACCCCAGUAGUCCCUGUCUCUUAUAC